rnacentral:rRNA from 1 species
GAUGCCUUUAACCGGGUGUCGGGGGCGGACGGCACGUUUACUUUGAACAAAUUUGAGUGCUCAAAGCAGGCCUAUGCCUGAAAAUUCUUGCAUGGAAUAAUGGAAUAGGACUUCGGUUCUAUUUUGUUGGUUUUCGGAUCCGAAGUAAUGGUUAAGAGGGACAGACGGGGGCAUUUGUAUGGCGGUGUUAGAGGUGAAAUUCUUGGAUCGCCGCCAGACAAACUACAGCGAAAGCAUUUGCCAAGGAUGUUUUCAUUGAUCUGGAGCGAAAGUCAGAGGUUCGAAGACGAUCAGAUACCGUCC